rnacentral:rRNA from 1 species
GACUGCUAAUACCGAAUGUGCCUACGGGUGAAAGAUUUAUCGUCGAUAGAUUGGCUCGCGUCAGAUUAGCUAGUUGGUGAGGUAAAGGCUCACCAAGGCGACGAUCUGUAACUGGUCUGAGAGGAUGACCAGUCACACUGGAACUGAGACACGGUCCAGACUCCUACGGGAGGCAGCAGUGGGGAAUUUUCCGCAAGGGGCGAAAGCCUGACGGAGCAAUACCGCGUGUGGGAGGACGCUUUUUGGAGUGUAAACCACUUUUAUUAGGGAAGAAGAACUGACGGUACCUAAUGAAUCAGCAUCGGCUAACUCCGUGCCAGCAGCCGCGGUAAUACGGGGGAUGCAAGCGUUAUCCGGAAUUAUUGGGCGUAAAGCGUCCGUAGGUGGCUUAUCAAGUCUGUUGUCAAAGCGUGCGGCUUAACCGCAUACGGGCAAUGGAAACUGAUGAGCUAGAGUGCGAUAGGGGUCAGGGGAAUUCCCGGUGUAGCGGUGAAAUGCGUAGAUAUCGGGAAG